AUUGAACGCUGGCGGCAGGCUUAACACAUGCAAGUCGAGCGGAGAUGAGGUGCUUGCACCUUAUCUUAGCGGCGGACGGGUGAGUAAUGCUUAGGAAUCUGCCUAUUAGUGGGGGACAACAUUCCGAAAGGAAUGCUAAUACCGCAUACGCCCUACGGGGGAAAGCAGGGGAUCUUCGGACCUUGCGCUACUAGAUGAGCCUAAGUCGGAUUAGCUAGUUGGUGGGGUAAAGGCCUACCAAGGCGACGAUCUGUAGCGGGUCGUAGAGGGUGAUCGGCCACACUGGGACUGAGACACGGCACAGACUCCUACGGGAGGCAGCAGUAGGGAAUCUUCGGCAAUGGACGAAAGUCUGACCGAGCAACGCCGCGUGAGUGAAGAAGGCCUUCGGGUUGUAAAGCUCUUUCGGCUGGGAAGAAAUCGCAUCUCCUAAUACGGGGUGUGGAUGACGGUACCAGCAUAAGAAGCACCGGCUAACUACGUGCCAGCCGCCGCCGUAAGAC
rnacentral:rRNA from 1 species